AUUGAACGCUGGCGGCAGGCCUAACACAUGCAAGUCGAGCGAGCGGCGGACGGGUGAGUAAUGUCUGGGAAACUGCCUGAUGGAGGGGGAUAACUACUGGAAACGGUAGCUAAUACCGCAUACCAUCAGAUGUGCCCCGAUGGGAUUAGCUAGUGGGUGGGGGAACGGCUCACCUAGGCGACGAUCCCUAGCUGUUCUGAGAGGAUGACCAGCCACACUGGAACUGAGACACGGUCCAGACGCCUAGGGGAGGCAGCGGUGGGGAAUAUUGCACAAUGGGCGCAAGCCUGAUUCAGCCAUGCCGCGGGUGUGAAGAAGGCCUUCGGGUUGUAAAGCACUUUCAGCGGGGAGGCGUUACCCGCAGAAGAAGCACCGGCUAACUCCGUGCCAGCAGCCGCGGUAAUUC
rnacentral:rRNA from 1 species